UUAAAUUGAAGAGUUUGAUCAUGGCUCAGAUUGAACGCUGGCGGCAGGCCUAACACAUGCAAGUCGAACGGUAGCGGGAAGAAGCUUGCUUCUUUGCCGACGAGUG
rnacentral:rRNA from 1 species